AACCCAUAGGGGCUUCCCCUACUCUCCCCUAAAAAAACAUUGCAGGAUGACCAGUUCCACUUUCCAAGGAGACUCUAAGGACAUCCUACCACUUAUGGCUAUUUUGUUUUGGGCUUCCUUAGGACUAUGGCAACAGGCAAGUCAAAGGAGGUAAUGCCUGCUGGGGUGAUGGAAUUGAACACAAAUCUUCCAAUAAGGCUCCGUUUAGUUCGCGAAAAAGUUUGGGUUUUGACACUUCAGCACUUUCGUUGUUAUUUGCCAAUUAAUGUCCAAUCAUGGAUUAAUUAAUGUCGUUAGAUUCAUCUCGUGAAAAUCAGUCAGACUGUAUAAUUAGUUAUUUUCUUCAUGCAUGUGUCGAAAGAUUCGAUGUGACGGGUACUGUAGGAAAAAUUUUGGGAACUAAACGGGCCUAAGGUCUUUUGUAGGUAGUAGCAUACUGCUACAGUAUAACUUGGCGCUGGUCCUUUUCAGGGUACAACUGUGGUUGAUGAUUAGUGCAAAUUGUCAGAAAGAAUACCUGGUGAAGUUCCAGAAAAAAAAGUAUUUGGCACUUGACAGAUGUUUGUAUAUGUUGUCUUUCUACUGAAUUGACAGAUCUUUCUUCGCAGAUGUUUGUCUUCGACCAAAGCAUGGCUUCCUGUCAUUCAUUCACUUCGUGACUCUUGGUGCCAGUUCUUCAAUUGUCACAUCAGAGAGGAGGAAAGUAGGAAAUGCAAUGUUCUCACGAAGCUUCGUGGCGUUUGCUGGUGCAGUAGUGAAUGCGAACUUUCAAAAAGGUGUCAACUUAGGCCAUAAUUUACAGUAAAAAUCUAAACAGGCCUAAGACACAUGCGUACAUGGGGUACCAUGUCUCUGCAGGAUACUGUUACUGGAUCUGGGAUCUCACCGAGGGAGACUAGGUGACCUGCUGUUACUUGCAAGAUUUUAAUGAUGCAACAGCUUUGGCAUUAAUAUUUCCCGUACACUACCUACCAUUUCUGGUGACCGGCAUGCCCUUUAAUUAACUAGCACCUAACAUGGCUAACAAGGGCGUGAUGAGACGUGCCAUUUCCUAAUCCCAUUUGUGAGUGACAGCAUUUCAGGUCCAUACGCGCUUGGAGUCGCCAGUUCUCCAGCAAGAAGAAGCUACAGAUGACAGUUCAAAAUGGACGAUUUCAGGAGGAAAUCGUGCUGUUUUCAUAUGAAUGAAAUUCAUGCGUUCCAAACAGUCGUCAAGCCGAAGAUAGAUGUUGCCGCCUGUCAUCUAGAGGCACGCCGCGGCAAUCUGAUCCACCAGCUUCUGUUGACGAGGCGGCCAUUGGUGAAUACUUGAUUCUGCGAGAGACAGUGGGAGGUGAUAUAAAAAGUGGAGAUUUUCUCAAGAUCCACCCCAUCUCUCGCCUAGUUUAGUCCGUGUAAGAUUCCAAGAGCGUUAGGCCCCCUCUCUCCAUGGCCUAAUCAUCGCCAUUAGUUUAAUCCCAUAGCUGAGGUGCACCCCUCGUUGGCCGCCCUCAUUCUCCUCCUUUCCUGCCAAUGGGAAGUGAAGUGGAUGAGCCCGUCACUCGUGCCUUCGUGAGGUAGAAAGGCGUUUGGUACUAUCCACUCCCUCCCCUCCUUUUUCGUCCUCCGGCACCUCUCUAAAUCCUCUGAUCUGUGGCCGUCCGUCCACAGCUGGGAUCCCGGUCAAUGGCGUGGCGAGGCGGCGGCGAUCGGUGUCGACAGCGGCGGUGCUGGGGGGCACUGCGGGAGGAGGCCGGUGAUGCGGAGGGGCCAGGGGGCGGCGACGGCGGGAUCAGGAGGAGCGGCGAGGUGAUCACCUGAAGGAUUUCCUACAGUGGUAGGCAAGUCUCAUUCUUGGCUGAUGUCCUCACACGAUGGAAGUAUCUUUUUUUUUUCCUUCUUCUGCUUUUGGGGUGUGGUUUUCUUUGAACUGUCUGACCAGGUGUCCUGUGGUGGCUCACGUCGAUUUGUUCAAAUAGAUGCUUGAGGUGUCCUGUGAUCUGUCGUGUGUCUGGAGUUGUGUUCUGCCCUGGCUGUGCUGUUUGCGAGUGGAAAUAACGCGUGUGUUGGUCUGAAGGAUGUAAACACAGAGGAUUGAAGAGUUGUGAGAGAGGGAAACAGAACGCAGAGAUUGGUCAAUAAUUCUCGCAUUUUGUAAUUCGGUUGUUAACGUGUCUGCCAUCCUGUUUGCUUCGAGAUUCCGUGUGUAA